AAAAAUGUAAUUAAAAUUCAAUUUCGACUUGAAUUUAUGAUAAAUUUUUAUCCAUUUUUA
rnacentral:tRNA from 1 species